CUCUUUCACCAGCGCACCCUGGAUGUGGAGACAGAACGGCACAGGUAUGUAAGUGUUUGGCAUAUUCACAUGAGGUUGUACUUGAUAUUCACUAGUGAUGGCGAGAUGAAGCCUCAUGAAGCAUCGAAGCUUUCCAUCCAAUUACUCGCCUCCUGGGCCGAAGCUUCAUGGUCGUGCUUCAUUUGCUCUGUUGCGCCAUCAAGUGGACAAUAAAUGUAAAACAGACAGAGUGAUAAACCAAAGACACCCCGAGGCUUUGGUGCGCGAAGCUUUGAAUCCAAUGAAUGAAUGAAUGGAUGUGAUGCCGUGUGUUUGUGAUACAAUACAGAAAUGAUAAAGUUAUUAAUAUGGUGUUUGUCUUUAAGACACAGUUGCAGUGUCAAAAAGGGGAAGAGGACAUAAAUUAUCGAGAGGGUUGUGAUGUGAAUGUGUUACUUAGUUUGUUGUUCGUACUUUUGUUACGGGGACAACAAAUAAAACAUAAACAAUUCAUUUAUAUUUAUUUAUUUUUAUUUAAAAACAACUUUUCAACAAGUCUCGAGUCUAUGGAUUGUGAGUGGGGCAGGACUCCGUUGCGUUUCGCUGCCUGUUAAAUCAUCCGCCAAACCCGUGAACCGUUUCUUGAACCAGUCACGUGGUAUAGCCGGGUAGCGAGGCUUCGGACGUCAUCAUUUUUGGCUCCACCCCUACAUGAAGCAAGCCUCGAUACGCGCUUCGCGGAAACGCCCCCUUCAUUACUCGACACACGCUUCGAAGCCUCGGCACUGAAGGACACAUCACUAAUAUUCACCUUCCCUCUUUUAAUUUCCCCAACACAUUUGUUCGGACUUUGCUAAUUUACAGGCUACUAUGUUUCUCAUAGGUGGUGGUGCGGCUAAAUCAACACGAACUGCGAUCCUCUGUGAGAAACAGGUAUACUAACGCACGUCAAUAACCAAAUCUGAACGAAAGUAUUUUUACCGAAAUACUUCAUGGAAAUGCGAUCAGACUGAGACGCUAAGGCAGAAGAACUACCGCGUCAACAGUGUAAAGUGAUCAAUAUGAUGAUUAUUACUUCAAGGAAACGAUAAAUAAAUGAUCAUAAAUGUUCUUCGUUUAGCUGCGUCACCCCGCAGCAGUCCGUGGACUGGCCCGAGGUCUCCUACAAACAAGUGGCUGCUGAAAGAGAGCAGGUGAGUUGUGUUUAGUCUCUUUGCUAAAGAAAUUAGGCAAAGUUAAAAAGAUGUUUGGUGGCUAGUACUAUGGCUGGGACCCUAUAUGUACUGUUGAUGAAGUUAGGUGCUGUUCUGAGCAUUAUUUGUGGCUAUAGAGUGGCUUUUUGGUUGAGGUUUGUAUGUGGCUCCUAAGACCACUUUGCUAUCCUGCAGUCGUUCCUAAAGUUGGUAUAACUAGAGAAGCAAGCGGUCUGCAAUAUUAAUCUCUUGAGGCGGUGUCUAACUCGGUGUUAAGGUGUGUUUGACUCUAAAUUAAUUUUACACCGGAAUAUCCCUUUAAAAUGUUGCUGUUGUUGAAUGUACUUGCUGGUCCACUGGGACACCUCAAAUGCAAUAUCAUAUACAAUAACUGGAUGACAGAAAAACAUCCUCUGGAAAGUCAGUAACAUGAUCGAUCCUUCAAAACAAAUCAGCUUGCUCAUAAACAAAACCCAAACAAUUCAAACAUUUUCAUUUUGAAGUCGUAUCAAAGUCUAUUGUUCUGGCUCACUCAAAAUUGAUGACUUCUUUUGUAUUGAAUCCAGAACCCAACUUCUUUCUUUUCAGCAGAAAUCAUUCAGCAGUUUUCACAGCGAGUAAAUAAAGUACUUUAUUUACUGUCUGGCCAACAUCUCAACUUUCGUUUUAAGAUCCAAGUUUGGUCAUAAUCUUUCAGAGCUAUUCUGUUGGUGUGGGUACAAAUCUUGUAUGUCAUGACUGUGAGCAUUAACAGGCCCUGGCACAUGACUAGGGACUGUGUUGUUCAACUGAACUGUGUUGACAGCAUCCAGCCAGAGCUGUGGUUAACUGUCUUUAUAUAGCCCAUUCAUUCAUUGCCUGUAUGAUGAAAAGUUAAAACAAUGAGGAUGUGGGACUCUGAAUCAAAAUAUCAAUGUUUAAAUUGUAUCCAGGGGAAAACGUGAAAUGUGACUUUGGCAAUGCUUCAUUUCAAACAGCGACUCCAAAGAUAAAGCUGCAACAGAAACAGUUUUACUACACCAAAAACAGAUCAACAUUACCAUGAAACCCCAAAAGUUGAUAAUUGGAAAAGUCAAUAACUGGACUCACCUUUCAGUGCUUACACUUCAGACUUGCACCAAAGGAUCAUGCUACCUAUUCCCUUAUCUGCUUCACCCUUAAUCCCCACCUGCAGCAUCUUGCAUGUUGAAUAAGUUUGUGUAGAGAAAAUCAGUCAUGUGUUUGUGUUUCAAAAAGUAGAAUAAAUAUCACCCCAUAAUAAAUUUCAGGGCCAUUUUUUUUCCUGUGUCUCUUCCAGGUUUGUCUCAGAGCAAGAUUUUCCUUUGACCUCACCGUGACGAUUCUUACCAUCCUGUGUGACACUUCAUUAACCCCUUAGUAGAAGCGUGGAUACCACAUAGUAUCUUAAGAGGUAACAAGUACUGCAUGAUAGUGGACUUCUUUAUUUUUCUGCUCGACAACAUACAAGAACAUUCUCAGUCUACCUUGUUGUUACUGGAGGAGCUUUAUUCAUCACUGAGUAGUACUGUCACUGAGUAAAACAUAUUUGCUGCUCAGUUCAUAGUUUUGUUGAUAUUAACAGAGAAAUGAAUUUGUGUGUUUAUCUAAGGUCUUCAGGAUUUCCUCUAUGAUUGUAUUUUGUGUGUAAAUUUAAAUACUUGUACUGAUUUGUUCUCUGAAACCUGUGGAUUAUUCUCAGGGAACAGAGUGAAAUGUUUUCGUUCCUCAGAAUCACUCAUAAAAACUUUGAUACUGUGAGAUAUAUUCAUAUUAAUAUUGUAUUACAACACUGUGACAAGAGAUGGCAUCUGUGGUAGCACAUUCCUGCAAUGGGAAAAAAUGUCAUGUUAAAGGUGCAUACUUUUGUUUACAGUACUUUUUGUUUAUACAGAGUUCUGGUUAUAAGUGGAGCCAAAGACACAAAGCUGGCCUUGUAAUCGACCUCAUUUUGUGGACAGACAACUCUCACAGUUUUCAAAACUUUGGAUUAUAUACAUUUAAUGACCAUCUAUUCUGUGAUGAUUCAGUAGAUUGAAAUGUGUUGUUAAACAUACUUUUUUUUUUUUCUUAAAUUUUAUUAUUGAUAUGCUGAUCCUGCAAUCACUGCUCACACAGUUGACAGCGUUUUCGUGAAGCAAUAACAGUAUCUUUUUAUGUGAAAAUACUACUGUACUGGAAAUGUAUUAUUUUGAGAGGUAGUUUUUGAUGAAUUAUCUGUGUAUGUUUUUAAUGAGGUUCAUGCUAACAGAAAAGUUUCAUCUUUACACUUCAGAUGGCGCUCACUUAGGGUAAACCAGUAUGCAGUAUUUCCAAUGCAGGAUUACUGACUGUUUUUAGUGCCUUAAGCAGCUCUUCAUAUGUUAUCCCUGACAGACUCUUGUUUUAUUUUAUAAAGCAUAUUCACAUGAUAUAAAGUUGCUCUCUUUAUAUCUCUACAGAGUAAAUAUCGUGGUUAGCGUUAUGUGUUUAGUUUAAAUGUAGAACCAGAGCAGUCAUCAGUACAGAGCGGUAUUUGAACUUUCAUCAUGUGGCUUUGUGUCUCGACAGCAUGUCUGACAAGUGUGCAGAAAUAGU
rnacentral:lncRNA from 1 species